CCUCAACAUUUUCCAUCUUGACUGAAGGCCUCAGAGUUGAGUGGAAGAUGAUGAUGUAAGCAGAGGGAGUUUUCAGCUGCAGAAAGAACAAUGGUGGAAACUUAUGGUUUUGUACUACAGCAGCUCCUUUCCACUAUCAGACAGGAAUCUAUGACCACAGGCAAUUCAAACAGGGAUACUAACAAAAUAGUGAGGAGCAACAUUGCACAGGCCUUGUCUUAUGGCAUCUGCUCCAGAAACGACUGGAGGAGCAGAGAUCUGUCUAUUGAGUGGACUUAUUGCCCCAGCCUUCUGGGACAUCUGUCAGAGGCCCCUGUUCAGAGAUGUUGGUUAUUGUUUGAAUUGAGUAUUUUAAGCAGUCACUGGUUUUGGGCCAGAGCUCCUUCCGUGGCCUUUCCAACCCUGAUAAGCUUGUCUGAGGUCCCUCAAGUUGCUGCUUAUUUUUUACUGUGGGAAAGAGGAAGAAUAUUCAAAUGAGGUCAUUUUUUGAAGGAUCUUUAAGAACAAGACAUUAAAAAUUGUUAUUAUGCUAUGAAUUAGUGAGGUGGCUACGUAGAUGCUGUUGGCAUAGAAUACAUCUUUGAGCAAAUGGAUCUCAGAUCCAACUCAAGGUUUUUCAUCAAAGCAUGUGAUAUUUGAGUGAGUAUUUCAGAAUAUGAAAAGCAUGUCUUUUUAAAACAGCAUGUGUAAUCAGCCUGAACCUGCUUUACAGCUAGGAUAUUCAAACUAAGAGUACUGCUGGUGUCUGACACUGAUCUAUUAGCUAAUGCUGGUAACAUGCUGGGAACUACCUGUGUUCUGUAACACUGGAAGGCAGUCCAUUAGUGCCUGAAUUAAUGCACUCAGGGACUUUUAAUUCUUCAUGGAAUCUAUUUCCAUAUUUAAUUACGGGAAAGUCAUAGAAAAAAAGUUACAAAGCACCUUCUUCAUCCAUUUCAUUGUCAACGAGAGUGGCGAUUACUAAUUCUUCUUCAAGUUAUAUUGCAGUGUUCACUUAAAAUAAUGCAGCUCCUUGCUGAGUUUGCUCCAAUUAAGCCAUAUUUUAUUUGCUAAUGACUUACCAAGUUGACAGUGACCUUGAAGUUGGUAUUGUCAACACUUCUUGGCAUAAAGCAUUAGGUGAUUUAGAGUUAUUAAGAGUGCAUCAAUUUAUUCUUCAGUCUUUGUCAGUGUUUUUAAAAAGCUUUUUGGUUCCAUUACAGAUAAGAUACUUUACCUGGAUAAUGUACAGGUUAGUAAGUUAAGUAACAAUCAAUUUAUAUUAAUUUUACUGCAGAUUUUAAAAAUAUGGCAGCACUUUUAUUGUCUUUUGAGUUUGAAAAAGAGCAAUCUCUGUGUCAUCUUUAAUUGUUACUAGUCCAAUUUAUUACCAUCUCAUUUCUGUUGGCCUAAGUCACUUUUACAAAUAUUUAUAAAUAUUUAGAUAAUGUCAGUAUCUCAAGUUAUACUCAAUUAUUGUUGAAUUUAACUUACUACAUGUAUUAAAAAUUGUGCAAGUAUAACUGAAAAGAGUAAGAUGUUGAUUUGUCAUGAAUGCUUCUUGGUACUUUAAGACAAAGAUAAAUAAUAAAAUCAUAAUUAGACAGCUCAAAAGUAUUUAUAACCUCAUAGUCACAAUUUAGUAAUAAUGCAAGGCACCUUUGCAUUAAAAGCAUUAAGGCAAACAAGAUAAUAUUUAGAACAAGUGACUACAGGAAUGUUACUCAAAAUUUUUCUGUUCUUCUGUUUGCUUUUAUCAUAUUUUUCCUUUUGAAAGCCAAUACUGCAUGUCUUUAAGUCAGAUACAUACAUAAUCACACUGUGAAUUCAUAUACUUUAUCUACUGGAAACUGCCAUUAGUCCUUGUUUCCGCACACUUGUGUUUUAUAUUGAACAUGACUCAAGAAUAAAGAACCACCUUUAUAUGUUUAGAAAAACUACUUGGUUACUGAAGUGUUGAAUAAUGGUAGAAAAGACCCAACACUGACAGUGACUCAUAGGCAUUGGCCACAGUGAUUAGCAAACACAGAUUUUGGUUUAAUAACAUGCAGAAAUUUAGGUAUAUAAAUAUUUUCACAUCUUUAUUCAAGAAAAAAAAAGUAUUUUAAAAUUGAGUUUCUGGUUUACAGUAAAGUUGUACUGAAUACUUUUUUGUAGAUGUUAAUUUAUGGCUGGAAAUGCCAAUUGUAUAAUAGGAAAGUGAUGUUCUGUAGUAAGGUUUUCUUUUGUAUUAAUUUUAUUUUGAAAUACAUGUUCAUUUGCUUUAGCAAGGGCUUAGGGUAUAUGAGAUGUAUUUUAAAUGUAGAGACCACAUCUAACAUUUUGUUCAGCCUUUCAGCUUUUUAUCAGAAAAUCUUUACUCUUCAGUGUAAUCAGCUGUGAAUUUUAAGUUGCUCAUGAAAAGCUGAAAUGUUUUUCAGUCACGUAAGGCUUACUGCUCUGUAAGUAGGGUACAUCUC